CAGAGAGGUCCCUAGCUGACUGACAGAUGGUCCAGCAUUGGCCAAUUGAAGAGAAAUAGAGUGGACCCUGGGCUAAUGUUGUUAAAAGCAGGCUGCAGGACUCAUUUGGACCUUCCCUGUAAAAACAUGCCCAGUCCUUCCCCAGACAAGCCAGAAUGCCUCCAGAAACAUUUCUCCAGGCCAUGUCUGUGGAAGCAAUUUCUGCCCCUGCCUCGGGCUGAGGGAUAUAAUGCCAGUAUUCUCCAAGCCAUGGAAAAUGAAGGAAGCCCCAAGACUGUGCGUGACGUCAAGACACAAAGAGAGGAAGGGAGAAGAUGAGAAACGGCGGAUCCUACUCCUCACGUCCAGUAAAAGGAAGUCAGAAGAGACUGUGGUCAUGUUUAAAAAAAAAAAAUCCUUAA